CGCACUGCAAAUUGAAUGAAUCCAUCAAGCAUUAAUACAAUUUUUUGACAAAACAACAAAUAUCAAGCAUUAAAAUAAAACUUACAACCUAAAAACAAAAAAAAAUAAAGCAAAUUUAAUUACAAAAAAAUUACAGAAAUAGAACAUAUUCAAUUUUCUGCAACAUCUUCAGUCUUUCUUUUUAUCCAUGCUACUUCAGUGCCUGUUUCAAAGAGCAACAAAUUGUCAAUUGUUGUAACUUUAUUUUCUUUUUCUGAAUAAUGAAUGAGCUUCUCUCCCGUCUAAAAUUUACAACAACGUUCAAAGAUUUUGCCACUGAGGAAUGAUAUCAGGAAUAGAGAACAUGUCUGUCAAAACACAACAGGAAAAAAUCGAAAGAAAAAAAAGAAGAAAAAGAAUCAAACCUCAAUAACAUCAUCAACCCAAAAUCAUAGAAAAUAUCAAUACCAUAUCAGAAGAAACAAAUGAAACCAAAAGUGAAAUAAAAGCACCAAAAGGGAUUAUUGACCCCAAAAAAAAAAAAAAUACAUAUCUGCACAAGGGAUUGGAGAGAUAAGAGACGCUGACUUGCUUUAGACUGGCUUUUUACCCAGAUCUACAAGAACUUAACCCAGAUCUCCAAGAACUUCACCCAAAUUUACAAGAUGACCACAUAUAUGUACAAAGAAACAAAAAAUGAAGAGAGAAAAAAAAAAAGAGAAAUAGAAAUACAUAGUUGCAAAGAAAGAGAUAUAGAGGGAGAGAGGGAAACAUAAAACCAAGAAGGAAAAAAAAAAUCAGAGAGAGAGGAAAAAAAAAAUGGAGACGAAAUGAGAGGAGAAAGAAUAAGAGAGAAG
rnacentral:lncRNA from 1 species